GUAAUGCCUAGGAAUCUGCCUAGUGGUGGGGGAUAACGUUCGGAAACGGACGCUAAUACCGCAUACGUCCUACGGGAGAAAGCGGGGGACCUUCGGGCCUCGCGCCAUUAGAUGAGCCUAGGUCGGAUUAGCUAGUUGGUGAGGUAAUGGCUCACCAAGGCGACGAUCCGUAACUGGUCUGAGAGGAUGAUCAGUCACACUGGAACUGAGACACGGUCCAGACUCCUACGGGAGGCAGCAGUGGGGAAUAUUGGACAAUGGGCGAAAGCCUGAUCCAGCCAUGCCGCGUGUGUGAAGAAGGUCUUCGGAUUGUAAAGCACUUUAAGUUGGGAGGAAGGGUAGUAACUUAAUACGUUGCUACUUUGACGUUACCGACAGAAUAAGCACCGGCUAACUUCGUGCCAGCAGCCGCGGUAAUACGAAGGGUGCAAGCGUUAAUCGGAAUUACUGGGCGUAAAGCGCGCGUAGGUGGUUCAGUAAGUUGGAUGUGAAAUCCCCGGGCUCAACCUGGGAACUGCAUCCAAAACUGCUGAGCUAGAGUACGGUAGAGGGUAGUGGAAUUUCCUGUGUAGCGGUGAAAUGCGUAGAUAUAGGAAGGAACACCAGUGGCGAAGGCGACUACCUGGACUGGUACUGACACUGAGGUG
rnacentral:rRNA from 1 species